AUUGAACGCUGGCGGCAGGCCUAACACAUGCAAGUCGAGCGGAUGAAGGGAGCUUGCUCCUGGAUUCAGCGGCGGACGGGUGAGUAAUGCCUAGGAAUCUGCCUGGUAGUGGGGGAUAACGUCCGGAAACGGGCGCUAAUACCGCAUACGUCCUGAGGGAGAAAGUGGGGGAUCUUCGGACCUCGCGCUAUCAGAUGAGCCUAGGUCGGAUUAGCUAGUUGGUGGGGUAAAGGCCUACCAAGGCGACGAUCCGUAACUGGUCUGAGAGGAUGAUCAGUCACACUGGAACUGAGACACGGUCCAGACUCCUACGGGAGGCAGCAGUGGGGAAUAUUGGACAAUGGGCGAAAGCCUGAUCCAGCCAUGCCGCGUGUGUGAAGAAGGUCUUCGGAUUGUAAAGCACUUUAAGUUGGGAGGAAGGGCAGUAAGUUAAUACCUUGCUGUUUUGACAUUACCAACAGAAUAAGCACCGGCUAACUUCGUG
rnacentral:rRNA from 1 species